GGGGACCUGGGGUCAGAGGUCGGGUCACUGGGGUCAGAGGUCAGGUCACGACUCCGCGUGGACGUGCGGGUGGGUGGGGCCCCGGGACUCACCUGGAGCAGGUCCACAGCAGCAGCGCCAGGGCCGCCAGGGUGCCCAGGGCAGACAGGGUCGCGGGCACCCACACCUGCGCCCGGGCCGGCUCACACUCUGUGGGCACACGACACCGUCACCCGAGGCCUGCACCCAUGGGUGCCCCGUGGGUCACAGGUGACGUGCAGGGGUGCGUGCGGGUGCAGAGGUGCAGGACAGACGGGUGGGUGGGUGGUGGUGACGGGUGACAGGAAGUGCCGGAGGAUCAAUGUGGGGGAGAGGUGAUUGGUAGUUGCAGGCACCACAGUGGGUCCUGGGGAGAGGUGCAGGUGGGAGGUGAGUGAUGGGUGCAGAUGGGUGAUCAGUGAUGGAUGAUCAAUGAUGGGUGCAGAUGAAUGAUCAAUGAUGGUUAGUGAUAGGUGCAGAUGAGUGAUCAGUGAUGGAUGAAGAUCAAUGAUGGGUGCAGAUGGGUGAUCAGUGAUGGAUGAAGAUCAAUGAUGGGUGCAGAUGGGUGAUCAGUGAUGGAUGAAGAUCAAUGAUGGGUGCAGAUGAAUGAUCAAUGAUGGUUAGUGAUAGGUGCAGAUGAGUGAUCAGUGAUGGAUGAAGAUCAGUGAUGGGUGCAGAUGGGUGAUCAGUGAUGGAUGAUCAAUGAUGGGGGAUGAAGAUCAAUGAUAGGUGCAGAUGAGGGAUCAAUGAUGGAUGAAGAUCAAUGAUGGGUGCAGAUUAAUGAUGAAGAUCAAUGAUGGGUGCAGAUGAGUGAUCAGUGAUGGAUGAAGAUCAAUGAUGGGUGCAGAUGAGUGAUCAAUGAUGGAUGAAGAUCAAUGAUGGGUGCAGAUGAAUGAUUAAUGAUGGAUGAAGAUUAGUGAUGGGUGCAGAUGAGUGAUCAGUGAUGGAUGAUGAUCAAUGAUGGGUGCAGAUGAGUGAUCAAUGAUGGAUGAAGAUGAGUGAUCAGUGAUGGGUGCAGAUGAGUGAUCAGUGAUGGAUGAAGAUGAGUGAUCAAUGAUGGAUGAAGAUGAGUGAUCAGUGAUGGAUGAAGAGUGAUCAAUGAUGGAUGCAGAUGAGUGAUCAGUGAUGGAUGAAGAGUGAUCAAUGAUGGAUGCAGAUGA